rnacentral:rRNA from 1 species
AGAGUUUGAUCCUGGCUCAGGACGAACGUUGGCGGCGUGCUUAACACAUGCAAGUCGAACGAGAAUCUGUGGAUAGAGGAUUCGUCCAAUUGAAGCAGAGGAAAGUGGCGGACGGGUGAGUAACGCGUGAGGAACCUGCCUUGGAGAGGGGGACAACAGCUGGAAACGGCUGCUAAUACCGCAUAAUAUAUCUGAAUCGCAUGGUUUGGAUAUCAAAGAUUUAUCGCUCUGAGAUGGCCUCGCGUCUGAUUAGGUAGUUGGCGGGGUAACGGCCCACCAAGCCGACGAUCAGUAGCCGGACUGAGAGGUUGAACGGCCACAUUGGGACUGAGAUACGGCCCAGACUCCUACGGGAGGCAGCAGUGGGGAAUAUUGGGCAAUGGGCGCAAGCCUGACCCAGCAACGCCGCGUGAAGGAAGAAGGCUUUCGGGUUGUAAACUUCUUUUAAGGGGGAAGAGGAGAAGACGGUACCCCUAGAAUAAGCCACGGCUAACUACGUGCCAGCAGCCGCGGUAAUACGUAGGUGGCAAGCGUUGUCCGGAUUUACUGGGUGUAAAGGGCGUGUAGCCGGGGGAGCAAGUCAGAUGUGAAAUCUAUGGGCUUAACCCAUAAACUGCAUUUGAAACUGUUCUUCUUGAGUGCUGGAGGGGCAAUCGGAAUUCCUUGUGUAGCGGUGAAAUGCGUAGAUAUAAGGAGGAACACCAGUGGCGAAGGCGGAUUGCUGGACAGUAACUGACGGUGAGGCGCGAAAGUGUGGGGAGCAAACAGGAUUAGAUACCCUGGUAGUCCACACUGUAAACGAUGAAUACUAGGUGUCGGGAGGGAAGCCCUUUCGGUGCCGCCGCUAACGCAAUAAGUAAUCCACCUGGGGAGUACGUUCGCAAGAAUGAAACUCAAAGGAAUUGACGGGGGCCCGCACAAGCAGCGGAGCAUGUGGUUUAAUUCGAAGCAACGCGAAGAACCUUACCAGGUCUUGACAUCGAGGUAAACUUGCAGAGAUGCAAGGUCUCUUCGGAGGACCAAAGACAGGUGGUGCAUGGUUGUCGUCAGCUCGUGUCGUGAGAUGUUGGGUUAAGUCCCGCAACGAGCGCAACCCUUAUAUCCAGUUACUAACGGGUGACGCUGAGGACUCUGGAUAGACUGCCGGGGACAACUCGGAGGAAGGUGGGGACGACGUCAAAUCAUCAUGCCCCUUAUGACCUGGGCUACACACGUGCUACAAUGGUGUUGAACAAAGAGGAGCGAGCCUGUGAGGGUAAGCGGAUCUCAAAAAAGACAUCUCAGUUCGGACUGUGGGCUGCAACCCGCCCACACGAAGUUGGAGUUGCUAGUAAUCGCGGAUCAGAAUGCCGCGGUGAAUACGUUCCCGGGCCUUGCACACACCGCCCGUCA